rnacentral:rRNA from 1 species
GACGAACGCUGGCGGCGUGCUUAACACAUGCAAGUCGAACGGAAAGGCCCUGCUUUUGUGGGGUGCUCGAGUGGCGAACGGGUGAGUAACACGUGAGUAACCUGCCCUUGACUUUGGGAUAACUUCAGGAAACUGGGGCUAAUACCGGAUAGGAGCUCCUGCUGCAUGGUGGGGGUUGGAAAGUUUCGGCGGUUGGGGAUGUUCUCGAGGAUUACGAGCUUGUUGGUGGGGUAGGGGCUUACCAAGGCUUUGACGGGUAGCCGGCCUGGGAGGGUAGCCGGCGUCAUUGGUACUGAGAUAGGGCCCAGAAUGCAAUGGGAGGCAGUAGUGGGAAAUAUUGCACAGUGGGGGGAAGCGAGAGGCAGCAGCGCCGCGUGCGGGAUGACGGCUUUCGGGUUGUAAACCGAUUUCGCCUGUGAUGAAGCGUGAGUGACGGUAAUGGGUAAAGAAGCACCGGCUAACUACGUG